UACAGAGGUGGCAAGCGUUGUUCGGAAUUACUGGGCGUAAAGGGCGCGUAGGCGGUUGCCUAAGUCGGACGUGAAAUCCCCAAGCUUAACUUGGGAACUGCAUCUGAUACUGGGUGACUUGAGUUCGGGAGAGGAAUGUGGAAUUCCAGGUGUAGCGGUGAAAUGCGUAGAUAUCUGGAGGAACACCGGUGGCGAAGGCGGCCGCCUGGACAGUCACUGACGCUGAGAUGCGAAAGCGUGGGGAGCAAACAGG
rnacentral:rRNA from 1 species